rnacentral:lncRNA from 1 species
CUCGACCGCAGUAAUAUUCGGCUAAUCCAAUACCACCACCUUCUGGCUUUGCAGUAGCUUCAUUGCUGUUACGAAGGAACCUCCAUCAUACUUCCUUGGUGUGGGUGAAAGCAAAGGAAUCAUAUUUUGUAGGACCCUCUGUUUUGCCAGUAGGUCAUGCUCUCUUUGGGAACUUAAAUGCCUUCUCUCUCUUUAGGAAUUGGAUUGUGUUGGAAGAAAUACCUGCUGGGUAUUUUUGUCCUGCUGGAGCAAGUUGCCCGGUGCCGUGCCAGCCAGGUACAUACAAUCCUCUCCAAGGACCGGAUGAAGCCGCCGAUUGCCGAGCCUGCCCAGCAGGGAGAGCUUGUACUCAGACUGGUUCUGAGCAUAUUUGCUGGUGCUACAGUCACGUCUAUGGCUGGUGGCCAUAGUGCUGGGGAUUGGAGUUUGGACUCCAGGGUUCUCAUCUCAGCUAAGGAGACUGUGCUGAGGGAUUCUGGUGCCCGAGUAAGAAACCCCCAAGAUGGGAGAAUCAGGACUUCCUUGUCCUCCUGGUCAUUAUUGUCCUGAAGGUGCUCUGCUUCUGUUGCAGUGCCCUCCUGGCACGUGGUCUGGCAGUGAAGGUAGAAGGAGUGUGCAGGAAUGCCAGCCGUGUCCUGGGGGGUAUUACUGCAACAGCUCUGGGCAGAGGGCACCCUCAGGACACUGCAGCCCAGGGUAAGUAGGAGAACAUCACACUUAUGUACUCUGU